CGGGGAUUGGCGCAGCCCGGUAGCGCGCACCGUUCGGGACGGUGAGGUCGGCGGUUCAAAUCCGCCAUCCCCGACCA
rnacentral:tRNA from 2 species